rnacentral:rRNA from 1 species
AUUGAACGCUGGCGGCAGGCCUAACACAUGCAAGUCGAACGAGUGGCGGACGGGUGAGUAAUGUCUGGGAAACUGCCUGAUGGAGGGGGAUAACUACUGGAAAAGGUAGCUACUACCGCAUACCAUCGGAUGUGCCCAGAUGGGAUUAGCUAGUGGGUGGGGUAACGGCUCACCUAGGCGAAGAUCCCUAGCUGGUCUGAGAGGCUGACCGGCCACACUGGGACUGAGACACGGACCAGACUCCUACGGGAGGCAGCAGUGGGGAAUAUUGCACAAUGGGCGCAAGCCUGAUGCAGCCAUGCCGCGUGUAUGAAGAAGGCCUUCGGGUUGUAAAGUACUUUCAGCGAGGAGGCGUUACUCACAGAAGAAGCACCGGCUAACUCCGUGCCAGCAGCCGCGGUAAUAC